UUACCGUUGUUGAGAUGUCCGUGCCUCAUCGYSCGUACACGUCUGCUUCGGCCCUAACUACCGUGAACCUGGUUGAGGCGAUGCAGCGGACCAGCUACAACUGGCCGUCUGCUAUCGCCGGCURCUCUAUUCGGGGUAACCUUCCGCGCCGGUGAAGGUCUUAAAUGGGUGCUUGGAGCCGUUCGCGUCUCCCCGGCCCCGUUUAGAGUGGUUUGGUGUUGUGUGUUCUCCUYCUCCUCGGGGUGUGGGACRCRAGRCGYUUCGUUYUUUUCUUCUCCCACUAAGCUAACAGCAUGUUUGCAGGCCGAACGUGAACACACGUAUACGAAAGUAAUGUCAAUUGACAACUUUUAACGGUGGAUCUCUUGGCUCGUGGAUCGAUGAAGAACGCAGCAAACUGCGAUACGUAGUGUGAAUUGCAGAAUUCAGUGAAUCAUCGAAUCUUUGAACGCAAAUGGCGCUCUUGGUUCUUCCAGGAGCACGUCUGUCUCAGUGUCGUUUUCUUAUCGAGCACGCUUCGGCGUGGUUGCCAUGAGGCGUCUGGCUGCUGCCGACGGCAUCGUGUGCUGUGUGCUGUAGUGGUAUUUGCUGCUGCAGCUCCUGUGCCGUGUCGCCGGCUGGUCAGUCCCUUGAAAAUCCGGGAGUUGGCUGCUCCGCCCAUUGCUUGCUGCUGGGCUGGCACGGCUGUUGCGUGUGGGCGACGAGAGUUGCUCAUACUCGUCGUGCUCCUCAGUCCUGUGGCGUCUUUCGGGCAUGGGCCGUACGCGUGAGUUGCCUUGCACUUCUUGCACAAACGAACACGAAACGUGAAGAAGACUUGAUGGCGGUGGAAGAGCAGUGGUGGUGCGUGCUUGCACGUGCGUUGUUGCUCUUCUUCAUUGUCCACUCGUCAACUUUGACCUGAGAUCAGUCGAGACUACCCGCUGAAUUAAGC
rnacentral:rRNA from 1 species